rnacentral:rRNA from 1 species
UACGGGGGGGGCAAGCGUUGUUCGGAAUUACUGGGCGUAAAGGGCGCGUAGGCGGCCUUCUAAGUCGGGCGUGAAAUCCCUCGGCUUAACCGAGGAACUGCGUCCGAUGCUGAAAGGCUUGAAUCCGGGAGAGGGAUGUGGAAUUCCAGGUGUAGCGGUGAAAUGCGUAGAUAUCUGGAGGAACACCGGUGGCGAAGGCGGCAUCCUGGACCGGCAUUGACGCUGAGGCGCGAAAGCCAGGGGAGCAAACGGG